CCCACCCUGUUGAAUGACAAUAGGCACACUCCAUCAUCAAAACCCACAAAAAUAAACAGACAUUUAUGCUAAUAUUAAACUGACCUAGAAGUUAGGGCAACCCCAGAAUUUUUUGUCCUUGUUUUUAGGGGUUCUCGUAAUGCGUAAAACUCCAAUGUGACCAUAGAAGCAAGUGGGUUUUACACCCAACCUCCUAAUACUAGCACUACUGUGUUGGAAGUCCAAACCCAAACACUUACAAGACGAAGAUGAACGAGACAUUUCCUCAGCUGCACAGUGCUUCAAGAACC
rnacentral:lncRNA from 1 species